GUUCCCUCACCUUUAAAAUAGGAAUAAUGGCAGUUCUUGUGAAGAUCGAAUGAACUGAUGCAUGUAAAGUGUCUGACACGUACAACACUCUCAAUGAGUAUUAGUGAUUAUAAUGAUAACCAGACCAUUUAACUGAGACAAAAUUUGGACUUAUUUUCACCAUCUUCUAACACUAUUCAACCAAUGUUUAUUGCCCAUAUACUAUGUAUUGGACAGAUGCAUUCCUUCCCAUAUCCUCAUUGUCAAAUAUGAUUUUCAAGGAAUGCUAAUGUAACAUAUGGAAAACACAACUAAUUCCCAUAAUGAAAAUGUCAUGCCAAAGGAUACACUCAUAAUUUCUUCUUUUUCUUUUCUUUUUUCAGUUUUCUUAAUUUCCUGAAAGUGAGAGAAAUGGCACUGUAAGUUCUGGGAAGGCACAUUGUGCUGAAAGCAUUCAUUCAAAGUCUGUCAUUACUGCAGAUCCAAAUUUAGAAAGUUAUGACUGUGAUAUUGCUACUCUUGAAGGAAGACAUCACACAGAGCAGUUUUGCAAAAUGUUGUGAAAUUGAGUGCUAUGGAAACAGGACACCACCUGAUUCCCCUUUGGAACCCAUGAGGUUUGGUCCAAUGACUGACUGUUCAUGAGCAUAUGGGAUCUGGCUAAAGAAUCAAGAUUUUCGGGGUAUGUUCAAGAUCAAGUUACACAUUUAAAGAUUUUUUCCUAAAUCUCUUCACUUAUGUCAUAUACAGUCCUGAAGAAUGAAUGAUGUCUUUUGCAGUAAGAGAUAAUGCAAUGGAAAGAAGUCAGUCUUCACAAUUGGGAGAGGGAGGUUCUAGUCCUGGUGCUUUUCACAAGCUAAAUAACUUUGCAUUAUUUCUCCUUUCUAGGCCAAAAUUUCCCCGUCUGUAAAAUGAGGAGUUUGGCAGAUGAUCCCUCAUAGCCCUUCCAAAUAAUACAUUCCACUCUUCUACGACUUGAUGAGUUAGGAUCAUAUAGACGAUCCUUCCCAGACUAUAAAUACAGAGUUUAAUUUCUC
rnacentral:lncRNA from 1 species